CUAUUGAUAUUGCCAAGACAUGGGGAAAGAAGAAUUUUCUAGACAAGAAGAGUAUUGAACCAACAAGUAUAAAAUGGGUUAUGUAGUAGGCUAUAUUGAAUGGUUGCAUGUGACUUGAAGAACAAUGUGACUUCUAAUAUUAAAAGAAACAAACAUGUUAAUGACAAAGAAGCUGAAGCACUAGUCCUGUACCACGAGUUUAAGUAAAGGAAUUUGAAAUUUGAC
rnacentral:lncRNA from 1 species